ACACUGCUAAAUUAGAGGAAACUUAAAAGACGUUCUGAUUACUUUGAGGUAAUGUUAUAGGAUCAGAGCAUCUAUUUGUUCUCCAACACCACAAAUCUUUAAUUACAACGACAGACGCGUCUCUCAACGGAUAAAAGGAUCUAAAGGCAGAAGGAGAAUCUGAGUGGAUAUUCCCAGGUAAAAUCCACCACUACGCCCUUCUCUCCUAUCACAGUGCAUGUCACCUGGAGAUUCUUUCCCACUACUAUAGUGUCAGAGGAGGCCUGGAUUGCAGGAGAUGGUGGAGCGGCUGGAUCUGCCAGGGAACUAGGAAACUAGGAAAUACGCACAGUUGACAUAGAUGAGCAUGUAUUUGGUUGAGCUCUGCCGAAGGUUCCCCAGGCUUGCCACACAAUACAGAGAUCCAGCAUGAUACUGCUUCGGUCUGUGGAUGGUG